AAGUACAAUUGUGUAGUUAUUUUUCCUCCUUCAGUGUCUGCCUUAAAGUUUCCUGGAAGCAUGCUGAGUACGCAGUGUUGGGGCAGCUGCUUCAUUGAGUUUGUGUCACCUGGGAAAGACAUGAUUCCGGUUUUGGAUCCAGCAGCUCCCUUAAGAGCUAAGAAAGAAGCAAUUCCCAAGUCAUCUUCUUUCAGCUUGGAGUUCGGAAAAGGGAGCCUGAGACGUCACUUUAUUUUGUUUGCUUUUGGGCCUCAUUGGCCAUUAUGUUAGAUACCCUUGUAGAGAUCAUCUCUUGCACCCUUGUGAGAGAUUGACUUUCUCCAAGGGAUUUUGGGUAGAAAGGAAAAGAAAGUGUUCUUAUUUUGAGCCUCAGUCUGGAGAAGGAUUGUAUUUGGGGGGAAGUAGGAUAUGACAAUUUGAAUCCAGUGUUGUCUAACGAGAACAUUCUGUCUUUGCAGAAAGUCACCACAUGGAGGAUGGACGUCUGGACUACGUACGUUAUAAGUUUGGCCACACAGCUGUUCAGUUUCCUCAAGGCCUGCCAGCAGUUAUUUUUAAAGUGGUUCACCUUAGUCCCGGAAAGGAUCAACAUGAUGGGACAGUGGAGCCUGACAGGGUAAACGGAUGGCUUCCCAAACUCAGCUAACCUGGUGGGUGCUCAUAUGGUUUGAUGGCUGGUCUGACCGAUCCUCACAUUCAUACUUUUUGCCACCAUACUCACAGAAACAAGGAAUCUUUUUAAUCGGCGGUUUGGUCUCCCAAGUGACUGGAACAAUACUGGCUAUUUUGUGUGACAGACUUUCUGUGGAAAAAACAAAAACUUUUUUGGGGCACUUUUUUCCAUCAUGUACUGAUUACCCAGACAAAACUGAGCUUCUAGAACUGCCACAUGCAGGGUGAGGUACUGGAAUAGCAAUCUUUUAAGAAGGGGCCCCUGAGGACUCAUUCUCGACAGCCAGUUGUGCCAGCAGUCGAGAAGGGCACAGUCCAAGGUAGUGAAAUGGACAGAGGAAGACUCCAUGCCAGAUUGGGCUGGGCCUCAGGCUGUUCCUUCAGCCUCCUCACGUGCCUAUGUCUGUGGGGGUUAACUCCAUCCUGUGAGGACAGAAUGGCCAUCGGUUUAUAUUCAGGUCCUGGGAAGAUGUCUGGGGUUGCUGAGGAAAUCUGAGAAAUGGAAGAGUUUUCAAACUAUGCUGUUCGAAGUGCAUGGAAGCUAAGUUGUUUAUUCCCAGUUCUCAGCCUUCAAGGAUUACGUAAUUUUCUUCCUUACCAUCAACAGCAACAUAUCCUUAGAAGAAAUGUCUCUCAUGGACAGUUGAAGUUCCUGCUUGCCUGGUGCUCUUACUGGUGGUCACUGCAUUGUACAAGUCUUUUCCCUCCAAUGACUUAUCUCACAGGUUUAGUGAGAAUGGAUUAUCUGAUGACAUCAUAAAAUUCAGUCCUGGGUGGUUUUAAAGAAGAUCAUUUAGAAGCAGCAAUGAGGACUAGGGGAAACAUCAACUAGCCCAGCAGGUUUCCAGAAGAGAUCCAAGAAGUGGCUGUGGAGAGAGAAACGUUUUUUACAAUGGACUUGAUCUCUACUAAACACAGUGAGGGCAGCAAUGGAGCAGGAAGUUUAAAGUGAUCUGACAAAGAGAAAAAAUUUUCUUGAGACCAAAGGCACUUUUUCCCUGAGACAUGAUGUUGUACUGCAAUUUAGCUCUUGUCUUCUACCCCCAAGUCCUCCACGCCUUUUUCUAGACUCUGCAACUCACCCUUCGUCCAUUCUGCCUGUACUGAAUAUGUUUGGGGGACUGUAAAUUACCAUAUCAUUGGAAUCACAGGGUCUUGGUGAAAGCUCAUGAUUAAAAAAAUAAUUAUAGCUAAUUUAAAAAGAAAAGGUAUUUAUUGAAAGAUAUAUUUUAGAAUUUCCUAGAAGGCCAUGGAAUUAAACUUGAAGACUAUGCCACCAGGAUCAAUGCUUACAUUAUUCCUCAGAACUGGACACCCCAUUGCUGCUAGGCUGGCGUAAAGCCACAGCUCCCAUAGCCAUGGUGGAACACAAAUAACCCCACCUGGGAGGUCGGAAGCUGCAUGACAGACAUGAGUUUGGUUUCUGGGCCAGCUUGCACAUGCCAGGUGUGGUCACAACUGUAAUCCUAGCUAAUUGAGAGACUGGGGAAGAAGGAUCUCUACAUGGUGAGAGCCUAUCAAGAAGUAUAUAUAGUUAAUAUCAAUGGCUUACUCUGUGCACAGUAUUCUGCUGGUGGAGUCUCAGUGGCCUUAUGCGUUCUCUUCUUCCCAUCUAAGUUCUGAAUAGCUUUGAAGUUUUACAACCUGCUCAACCAAAUAAAUCACUAAUAAAUAUGCAACGGUAAAUGAAAAUGAUUAAACAAGUAAACUCUUUGCAUUACCAGUUUUAGAUGAUUCUAUAAUAAAUUUAUUAGAAGUGAUUUCUAUUUGUAUAAUAAAACUGCAUCAUUCAUAACAGUGAAGUGGAUUUACCACAUGGAGAGAGAGUUUUUCUUUAAAGUUGAUAUUAACUCAGAUGAAAGAGAUAAUCCAGGGAAAACCAAAAAGGUAGGCCUUAAUCUCCAUUGAGAUCUUGAGUGGCAUCAUAUUUAGAGUGAUCUUUGUAUAUAUAUACAUACCUAUGGUAAAGUUUAAUUUAUAAUUAGGCAUAGUAAGAGAAUAGCAAUAACUAAAACAAUUAUUAGUAAAAGAGAACAAUUAUAACAAGAUGUCAGCAUUUCUACUACUGCAACUUUGAGGCCACUAGUAAGUAAAAUAAGUGUUACUUGAACACAAACACUGUGAUAACAUGACACUUCAUCUGUUAACCAAUAUGGCUACUAAAUGACUAAUGAGCAAGUUGACAUACAGCGCGGAUACACUGAACUAAAACAUUAUUCACAUCCCAGGUGGGAGGGAGCAGGAUGGGAUUUUGUCAUUCUACUCUGAGUAGCAUGCUAUUAAAACCUAAGAGUUAUUUACUUCUGGAACUUUUCAUUUAAUAUUUUUGAACUACCAUUGACCAUAAACAACUGAAACUGUGGAAAGCAAAACUGUGCAUAAGGGGAAAUGAUUGUACUUCACAUGCAAUACAAGAAAGUAAAUGACUCAUUCCUAGUGGGAACCUAAAGUGAGUUGUGGGCACAGAUAUCUUUGCAACCAGCCUAGCAUUUCAGAUAAUUUAGUCACUGGUAUAAUUGGUAAUGACACCUUGUGUGGUAUGAACUGCUUUUAUAAAUAUUAUCUUAUUUGGUCCCUUUAACCAAGCUGUAUUGUAUGAACUGCUUUUAGAAAUAUAAUCUUAUUUGGUCCCUUUAACCAAAUAACAUGGUAAUUUAAUGUUACUAUGAAGAAAAUGAAUAUUGGAGGCUAGGCAAAGUGGCUUUCCAUAGUCACUCGGUACAUAAGUAGCUAUUUUUGGACUUGAUUACAGAUUUUCCCACCCUGAAUCCAGUGUUCUUUUUAAUAUUUCACAGUUGUCACUGUACUGACUGAGAGAUUAAUAGAGGUUGUUAUAUAAAUUUUAUUUGAUUAUA